UACGGGGGGGGCAAGCGUUGUUCGGAAUUACUGGGCGUAAAGGGCUCGUAGGCGGCCAACUAAGUCAGACGUGAAAUCCCUCGGCUUAACCGGGGAACUGCGUCUGAUACUGGAUGGCUUGAGUUUGGGAGAGGGAUGCGGAAUUCCAGGUGUAGCGGUGAAAUGCGUAGAUAUCUGGAGGAACACCGGUGGCGAAGGCGGUUGCCUGGAGCUUUGCUGACGCUGAGGCGCGAAAGCGUGGGGAGCGAUCCGG
rnacentral:rRNA from 1 species